rnacentral:lncRNA from 1 species
GAGCCGCGCCCAGAUGUGAGGCCGGCAUCCAAGGGACAGCCCCAGGGCACAUGGGGGGCCAGCCAGGAGGGGGACGAAUCCAGUACACACCAGAAAUGAGCGGAACGAAGGUGCCCUCCAGCACUCUGACCUCACGUUACCACUCCAGACCUGCUCAUGGAGAGAAAGGGGGCAAACAGCACCAGAGACGGUGACUAUGAUCAUGGUGUGAACACCCCUUACCCCGCCCUGAGUGGCGGUGCUGUGGUAUGAAUGCCCCCUUACCCCGCCCUGAGUGGCGGUGCUGUGGUGUGAACGCCCCUUACCCCACCCUGAGUGGCGGUGCUGUGGUGUGAAUGCCCUCUUACCCCGCCCUGAGUGGCGGUGCUAUGGUGUGAACAUCCCUUACCCCACCCUGAGUGGCGGUGCUGUGGUGUGAACGCCCCUUACCCCACCCUGAGUGGUGGUGCUGUGGUGUGAACAUCCCUUACCCCAUCCUGAGUGGCGGUGCUGUGGUGUGAACGCCCCUUACCCCACCCUGAGUGGCAGCGCUGUGGUGUGAAUGCCCCCUUACCCCGCCCUGAGUGGCAGUGCUGUGGUGUGAACGCCCCUUACCCCACCCUGAGUGGCAGCGCUGUGGUGUGAAUACCCCCUUACCCCGCCCUGAGUGGCGGUGCUAUGGUGUGAACAUCCCUUACCCCAUCCUGAGUGGCGGUGCUGUGGUGUGAACGCCCCUUACUCUGCCCUGAGUGGCAGUGCUGUGGUGUGAACGCCCCUUACCCUGCCCUGAGUGGCGGUGCUGUGGUGUGAAUGCCCCUUACCCCACCCUGAGUGGCGGUGCUGUGGUGUGAACGCCCCUUACCCUGCCCUGAGUGGCGGUGCUGUGGUGUGAACGCCCCUUACCCCACCCUGAGUGGCAGUGCUGUGGUGUGAAUGCCCCUUACCCCGCCCUGAGUGGUGGUGCUGUGGUGUGAAUGCCCCCUUACCCCGCCCUGAGUGGUGGUGCUGUGGUGUGAACAUCCCUUACCCUGCCCUGAGUGGCAGUGCUGUGGUGUGAACGCCCCUUACCCUGCCCUGAGUGGCGGUGCUGUGGUGUGAAUGCCCCUUACCCCACCCUGAGUGGUGGUGCUGUGGUGUGAAUGCCCCUUACCCUGCCCUGAGUGGUGGUGCUGUGGUGUGAACAUCCCUUACCCCAUCCUGAGUGGCGGUGCUGUG